rnacentral:rRNA from 1 species
UACAAAGGAAUUGACGGGGCCGCACAAGCGGUGGAGCAUGUGGUUUAAUUCGACGCAACGCGAAGAACCUUACCAGGGCUUGACAUCCCCUGACCGCGUAUGAAAGUACGUUUUCACCCUCGGGUGACAGGGAGACAGGUGGUGCAUGGUUGUCGUCAGCUCGUGUCGUGAGAUGUUGGGUUAAGUCCCGCAACGAGCGCAACCCCUACGUUUAGUUGCUAACGCGUGAAGGCGAGCACUCUAGACGAACUGCCGUUGACAAAACGGAGGAAGGUGGGAUGACGUCAAAUCAUCAUGCCCCUUAUGUUCUGGGCUACACACGUGCUACAAUGGCCGGUACAGACGGACGCAAAGCCGCGAGGUGGAGCAAAUCCUAAAAAGCCGGUCUCAGUUCGGAUUGCAGGCUGCAAUUCGCCUGCAUGAAGUCGGAAUCGCUAGUAAUCGCAGGUCAGCAUACUGCGGUGAAUACGUUCCCGGGCCUU